rnacentral:rRNA from 1 species
AUACAACUUUUAGCAACGGAUCUCUUGGCUCUCGCAUCGAUGAAGAACGCAGCGAAAUGCGAUAAGUAAUGUGAAUUGCAGAAUUCAGUGAAUCAUCGAAUCUUUGAACGCACCUUGCGCUCCUUGGUACUCCGAGGAGCAUGCCUGUUUGAGUGUCAUUAAAUUCUCAACCU